AAAAAUAAAUAAACAGAUGAUGGGGAUGGGAGCCAAAGCCUGUUAUGACAAGAGCGUUUGGGCACAGUUCACUCUAGCUUGAUGGGAGUGUCACGGGGAUGUGGGAGCUUGCUCAGCUCCCUUAUGACUUUCUUGCCUUUCAGCUCCUCACCCUCUGUCUUAUGUGGUGGGGAAAGCAGAGAUGAAAUAUGGCUCUCUGGAGGGCUGUGCCUUUGUGAAAGGCUGUUAUAGCUGUAACAAAACUUUUGUAAUCUGUAACCAUAUCCCAUUACAUCUCCAGGCUCCUUGGGUCUCUUCCCAGCCGUAAGGAAAACACAACACACCCUUUUGCUCCCUCUCCUUCGUGCGUUCUUCCUUGCGCCCCUGCUAGUCUCUACUCUUUCAAAGGCCGUCACAGUUGUUCUUUUCACACAGAUUGUUCCUCUUAGCCUUUGACAGGAAUUGGCCCGAGAUCUCCAGAAAGGCUGGGUGGUAUCUGUGUUAGUACUUAACAAAUGGAGGAAGCUGGGACCGAGCACAGGAUGAACUUGCUUCAGUGAUUCAGGGGCUGCUUGAUGUCUCUUAUGACAGAGCUAGCCUUUCUUCAGCCUAGAUUAUCGCCACCAUCACUCAUUAUCUUCUUCCAUGUUUCAAGGGACAUCAACUGGCUUGGUGGUGAAGGAACAAACUGAAACCAGACUCGGGGGCCUGCCUCAACUGCACUAGUUACUAGCUGCACGUCCUUAGGAAACAGCAUUCAAUCUUUCUACUUCCUCGUACGCAUAAUGAGGUUACUGAUAAUUGUCUUGUAACUUGAGGGUUAUGAGAUGGUCCGUGUCACAUGCUGUGAAAGUUCUGGAUGGAUGUGAGACUAGACCACACACUGCUGGGACCUCUAGAGAAGAUAUUAAUUUGUUUUCAAACCAAAUGAUUACCUUUCUGAAAAGUCAUCAGGGUAUUCCAAAGCAGAUGAAGAGGUGAGGGAAGAGUGGGGUGUAUACCCGAUGGAAUAUCGCGCAAUCUUUAAG